AAGUCGAGCGGCAACCCGUAGCAAUACGGCCUAGAGCGGCGGACUGGUGAGUAACGCGUGGGUGACCUGCCCUUGGGAUGGGGAUAGCCAUUAGAAAUAGUGGGUAAUACCGAAUACGGUUGCAAGAUUGGGAUUUUGCAAAGAAAGGAGCUAAGGCUCCGCCCGGGGAUGGGCCCGCGUCCCAUUAGGUAGUUGGUAGGGUAAAGGCGUACCAAGCCAGAGAUGGGUAGCCGGCCUGAGAGGGUGAACGGCCACACUGGGACUGAGAUACGGCCCAGACUCCUACGGGAGGCAGCAGCUAAGAAUAUUCCGCAAUGGACGAAAGUCUGACGGAGCGACGCCGCGUGGAUGAGGAAGGCCGAAAGGUUGUAAAAUCCUUUUAUUGCGGAGGAAUAAGCGGGGGAGGGAAUGCCCCCGUGAUGACGACAAGCAAUGAAUAAGCCCCGGCUAAUUACGUGCCAGCAGCCGCGGUAACACGUAAGGGGCGAGCGUUGUUCGGAAUUAUUGGGCGUAAAGGGCGCGUAGGCGGUUAUGUAAGCCUGGCGUGAAAUACUCUGGCUUAACCAGAGAACGGCGCUGGGAACUGUAUGACUAGAGUCAUGGAGGGGGAGUUGGAAUUCCUGGUGUAGGGGUGAAAUCUGUAGAUAUCAGGAAGAACACCGGUGGCGAAGGCGAACUUCUAGCCAAUGACUGACGCUGAGGCGCGAAA
rnacentral:rRNA from 1 species